rnacentral:RNase_P_RNA from 1 species
CAGGCGGGACGUUCUGUCGCUGUACGAAAAGUGCAGAGGAAAGUCCGGGCAGGAAAGGGCAUUUCGCUGUGGAAAGCACAGGUAUGCGUAAGUGUACGGUUCGCGUAACAGAAAAUUACCGCCCCUCACGGGGCAAGGGUGAAAACGUGAGGCAAGAGCUUACGACCGGCUGAUGGCGACAUCUCCGGGGUACGCACCCGAAACCUGCAAGGCCAAAUAUACCGGUGAUUAAGGGCUGCCCGUCCGAUGCCGGGGGGUAGGCUGCGUCAGAUAAAUGACAGAAGCCCGCAAGGGUACAGAACCCGGCUUACAGGCCCGCCUGUUUU